GACGAACGCUGGCGGCGUGCUUAACACAUGCAAGUCGAACGGAAAUGCCCUGCUUUUGUGGGGUGCUCGAGUGGCGAACGGGUGAGUAACACGUGAGUAACCUGCCCUUGACUUUGGGAUAACUUCAGGAAACUGGGGCUAAUACCGGAUAGGAGCUCCUGCUGCAUGGUGGGGGUUGGAAAGUUUCGGCGGUUGGGGAUGGACUCGCGGCUUAUCAGCUUGUUGGUGGGGUAGUGGCUUACCAAGGCUUUGACGGGUAGCCGGCCUGGGAGGGUGACCGGCCACAUUGGGACUGAGAUAUGGCCCAGACUCCUACGGGAGGCAGCAGUGGGGAAUAUUGCACAAUGGGCGGAAGCCUGAUGCAGCAACGCCGCGUGUGGGAUGACGGCCUUCGGGUUGUAAACCGCUUUCGCCUGUGACGAAGCGUGAGUGACGGUAAUGGGUAAAGAAGCACCGGCUAACUACGUG
rnacentral:rRNA from 1 species